CAGGUCCCUUCACUACUUUUGCUCUGCACUCUGACUCCUUCACCAGGAUUCUUUCCAGAAACAUGUUACCAGGUCCUUUCAACUACUUUUUUGCUCUGCACACUGACUCCUUCACCAGGAUUCUUUCCAGAAACAUGUUACCAGGUCCCUUCAACUACUUUUGCUCUGCACACUGACUCCUUCACCAGGAUUCUUUCCAGAAACAUUUUACCAGGUCCCUUCAACUACUUUUGCUCUGCACUCUGACUCCUUCACCAGGAUUCUUUCCAGAAACAUUUUACCAGGUCCCUUCAACUACUUUUGCUCUGCACUCUGACUCCUUCACCAGGAUUCUUUCCAGAAACAUGUCACCAGAUCUUCUCGAUCCAACUAUUACUGCCCUGAAGCCUUAAAAUCAAGAGCUUGGAACACUCAUUCAUGUGAAUGACUCGCAAGUGGUUUUUUUCAAUGACUGUCUAUAAUUAUGCAUGAUUAACUUAACUCUUAUUAACUCAAUAACAUGACUAACCUCACUAACUUAAUUAUGCAGUUAUUAUAAAAACCACUUGUUGAGUUUUACUAUGAAGGUCUUAAUGGGGUUACGUGGAUGACACCGCUCCAUGAUUAAUCAGGGUAAACGAAAACUUCUAGCGAAGUAUUCUUCAACUGUCAAGUUACUCAAGACUUGUUCUCCAGCUGAAAUAGUCGC